rnacentral:rRNA from 1 species
CGGGAGGCAGCAGUGGGGAAUCUUAGACAAUGGGGGCAACCCUGAUCUAGCCAUGCCGCGUGAGUGAUGAAGGCCUUAGGGUCGUAAAGCUCUUUCGCCUGUGAUGAUAAUGACAGUAGCAGGUAAAGAAACCCCGGCUAACUCCGUGCCAGCAGCCGCGGUAAUACGGAGGGGGCGAGCGUUAUUCGGAAUUAUUGGGCGUAAAGGGCUCGCAGGCUGCUUGAACAGUUAGACGUGAAAUCCCCGGGCUUAACCUGGGAACUGCGUUUAAUACUAGCAAGCUAGAGAAAUAGAGAGGAAAGUGGAACUCCCAGUGUAGAGGUGAAAUUCGUAGAUAUUGGGAAGAACACCAGUGGCGAAAGCGACUUUCUGGCUAUUUUCUGACGCUGAGGAGCGAAAGCGUGGGGAGCAAACAGGAUUAGAUACCCUGGUAGUCCACGCCGUAAACGAUGUGUGCUAGAUGUUGGAGGGUUACCUUUCAGUGUCGCAGCUAACGCACUAAGCACACCGCCUGGGGAGUACGGCCGCAAGGCUGAAACUCAAAGGAAUUG